rnacentral:rRNA from 1 species
CACGUAGGGCGCGAGCGUUGUCCGGAAUUAUUGGGCGUAAAGAGCUUGUAGGCGGUUUGUCGCGUCUGCUGUGAAAAUCCGGGGCUCAACCCCGGACUUGCAGUGGGUACGGGCAGGCUAGAGUGUGGUAGGGGAGACUGGAAUUCCUGGUGUAGCGGUGGAAUGCGCAGAUAUCAGGAGGAACACCGAUGGCGAAGGCAGGUCUCUGGGCCACUACUGACGCUGAGAAGCGAAAGCAUGGGGAGCGAACAGG